GAAAAAUAUUUUAUUGUGUGCAUUAUGUAAUAUCUUGUUUAGCCAUUAAUCAGCUGAUGGACAUUUGAGUUUUUUCCACAUUUAGCUAUUGUGAAUUGUACUGCUAUGAAUAUUUAUAUAUAAGUUUUGUGUAAAACUCCUGUUUUCAGGGUAUAAAUUUUGGGGGUCAUAUAUCUAAGAGUGGAGAUGCUGAGUCAUAUCAUAUUUCUGUGUUUCAUUUUUUUAAGGAACUGCCAAAAUAUUUUCCACAUGAGUUGCACCAUGUUGCAUUCCUACCUGCAAAGUAUGGGAGUUUCACUCUCUUCAGAUCAUCACCAACCAUUGUUAUUUUCUGUUAUAGUUUUUGACAUGGCCAUCCCAACCCUUGAUGCUACUGUUUGGAAGUUUGAAUUCUCAAGAAUCAUGUUGAAAUUUGAGCUCCAAUGUUGAAGAUGAGGAAUAAGUGGAGAUGUUUGGGUAAUGGGGGCAAAACCCUCAUGAAUGGCUUGGUGUCAUGUUCAAGGUAACGAAUGAGUUUCCACUUUAUUAGUUCUCAUAGGGGCUGGUUUUUAAAAAUAACCUGGAACAUUUCUUCCCUCUAUCUUGCUUCCUUUCUUGCCAUGUGAUCACUGCACGUGCCAUUACUGGAAGCAGCCUGUAGUCCUCAUGAAAAGCACAUAUUGAUGCCAUGCUUCUUGUAUAGUCUGCAGAAUUGUGAGCCAAAUAAACCUCUUAAUAAACUUCUUCUCUCUGUAAAAUACCGACCCUCAGAUAUUCCUUUAUAGCAACACUAAAUGGAUGAAGACAGUGGAAAUAAUUAUUCUAUUCACUAAUUUUAUGACCUUGACUAUUUUACAUAUCAUGUCAAGUAAGAUCAUAUAAUAUUUAUCUUUCUAUAUAUGAUUUAUUUUAUGUAAUAUAAUGUACCCUAGAUUCAUCCAUUUGUUGAAUAAAGAAAAAAUCAGGGUUUUCUUUUUUACAGGCUUAGUAAUACUUCAUUAUAUUUCUAUACCUUAAUUUAUUUAUUUACUUUUUCAUUGAAAGACAUUUUGGUUGCUUCCAUACCAUAGCUUUUAUGGAUAACACUGCAAUUAAGAUGAAAGUACAGAUAUCUCUUUGAGAUCUUGAUAUCAAUUCUUUUGGAUAUAUAUUCAAAAGAAAGAUUGCUGGAUCAUAUGGUAAUACUAUUUGUAAUUUAUUAAGAUUUUCAUUGUGCUUUUUAUAAUGGCUCUACCAGUUACAUUUCCACCAAUAGUGCACAAAGGUUCACUUUCUCUACAUCUUUGCCAAAAGGCUUUUUUUUUAAUCAUUAAAAAAAUAAUAGCCAUAAUAAUAUGUGUGAUGUAAUACCUCGUUGCAAUUCGAUUUAUAUUUUCCUAAUGGUUGGGGAUGUUGAGCACACUUUCAUAUUUGCAUUAGGCAUUUGGAUGUCUUCUUGAAAAAAAAUCUAUUCGGGUUCUUCAUCUGUUUUUUAACUGGAUUGUGAGUUUUUUGAUUAUGCAGUUGUAUGAAUUUGCAUUUGUUUUUCUAUUCUAUACGUUACCUUUUCAGUUUGUUGACUUUAUUUUACUGUGCAGAAAGCUUUUUAGUUUUAUUUAAUUUUACUUGUUUAUUUUUGGUUUUCUUGUGUGUUUCUGGCAUCAUAUUAAAAAUAUUUGUUGCAAAGACUAAUGUCAGGAAAUUUUACUCCUACAUUUUCUUUUAGGAGUUUUACAGUUUUAGGUCUUAGAUUUCAGUCUCAUUUAUUUUGAGUUGAUUUUUAUGUAUGAAGAGUCUAUUCUGAAUAUGGAUAUUCAGCUUUGCCAACAGUAUUUAUUGAAGAAAACUUUCUACAUUGCAUUUUCUUGGCUCCCUUGUCAAAAAUUAAUUGAUUGCAUAUCAAUGGGUUUAUUUCUGGGCUCUCAGUUUCUUCCUUUGGUUUAGGUGUUUGGUUUUUAUGCAAGGGCUCUAUUGUUUUAAUUACUAUAGCUUUUAAAUAUAAUUUAAAAUAAAAAAGUGUGAUACCUUCAGCUUUGUUCUUUUCACUCAAAGUUGCUUUGACUAGUUAGAG
rnacentral:lncRNA from 1 species